rnacentral:tRNA from 1 species
CAUUAAGAAGCUAUGAAUCAGCAUUAGCCUUUUAAGCUAGAGACAGAGGAACCUCCCCUCCUUAAUGA